rnacentral:tRNA from 1 species
GGAGAGGUCGCAUAGCCCGGCUUAGUGCGCACGCCUGGAAAGCGUGUAUACCGCAAGGUAUCGUGGGUUCAAAUCCCACCCUCUCCGCCA